rnacentral:rRNA from 1 species
GAUGAACGCUAGCGGGAGGCUUAACACAUGCAAGUCGAGCGGGAUCCCCUUCGGGGGUGAGAGCGGCGCACGGGUGCGUAACGCGUAUGCAACCUGCCUUAUACAGGGGGAUAGCCCAUGGAAACGUGGAUUAAUAUCCCAUAGGAUUAAAGUUUCGCAUGAAACUAUGAUUAAAACUGAGGUGGUAUAAGAUGGGCAUGCGUCUGAUUAGGUAGUUGGUGGGGUAACGGCCCACCAAGCCGACGAUCAGUAGGGGUUCUGAGAGGAUUACCCCCCCANACUGGUACUGAGACACGGACCAGACUCCUACGGGAGCAGCAGUGAGGAAUAUUGGUCAAUGGGCGAGAGCCUGAACCAGCCAUCCCGCGUGCAGGAUGACGGCCCUAUGGGUUGUAAACUGCUUUUCUGCGCCAAGAAACCUGUCAACGAGUUGACAGCUGACGGUAGCGCAGGAAUAAGCACCGGCUAACUCCGUGCCAGCAGCCGCGGUAAUGU